AAACUAAAUUUUCGGCUGCAUGCCACAGCCUUCUUCAGAGGAAGAAGAAGAAGGCUGUGGCAUGCAGCCGAAAAUUUAG